rnacentral:rRNA from 1 species
CACGUAGUUAGCCGGGGCUUCUUACUCAGGUACCGUCCUUUUUUCUUCCCUGCUGAUAGAGCUUUACGUACCGAAAUACUUCUUCACUCACGCGGCGUCGCUGCAUCAGGGUUCCCCCCAUUGUGCAAUAUUCCCCACUGCUGCCUCCCGUAGGAGUCUGGGCCGUGUCUCAGUCCCAAUGUGGCCGUCCGCCCUCUCAGGCCGGCUACUGAUCGUCGCCUUGGUAGGCCGUUACCCUCCCAACCAGCUAAUCAGACGCGGGCCCAUCUUAUACCACCUCAGUUUUUCACACUGCGUCAUGCGCCGCUGUGCGCUUAUGCGGUAUUAGCAGCUGUUUCCAGCUGUUAUCCCCCUGUAUAAGGCAGGUUGCCCACGCGUUACUCACCCGUCCGCCACUAGAAUAUGACUUCUUCCAUUCUGCAAGCAGCUCUUCCGAUGUCUUAUCCCCGUUCGACUUGCAUGUGUUAAGCACGCCGCCAGCGUUCAU